rnacentral:rRNA from 1 species
UACGGGGGGAGCAAGCGUUGUUCGGAUUUACUGGGCGUAAAGGGCGCGUAGGCGGUCAGCACAAGUCAGUUGUGAAAUCUCCGAGCUUAACUCGGAACGGUCAGAUGAUACUGCUUUGCUAGAGUGCAGAAGGGGCAAUCGGAAUUCUUGGUGUAGCGGUGAAAUGCGUAGAUAUCAAGAGGAACACCUGAGGUGAAGACGGGUUGCUGGGCUGACACUGACGCUGAGGCGCGAAAGCCAGGGGAGCAAACGGG